GUGACGGCAAUAUUGUUUGGUUUCUGCUUGUUGGGCUACAACCCACGCUGUUGCAGUAAUCUGCUUUAACAUGAUACGUUGUAUUAUUCUUGAGUGUCGUGGCAAUGGCUGGUCCUGCAGCAAGACUUUUCUUUUGUGUGCAAGAUAAUGCACAUUUUAGAUAGAAGACAAGAAAGAAGAAUUUCAGUAAACCAAUGCUACAAAGCAAUUUCUGAGUUCCAGAAAUUAUGCAUACCCACACCAAAGAGCAAAAUUUGGAAUUUCAGCAGAGUGGGGGUCAGAGAAAGAACAAGGAUAAGUAUAAGGAUAAUUUAUUUUACGUCAACAACCCAGGGAGUGGUUGCCAUGCCAAUUUUCCGAGGCAGGGGCCCAUGUUAAAAGUGCAUGACAACACCACAGAUUACAUAUAUGAUGAAUCAUAUGUAUAAUCCGUGAUUACAGAUUAUAGAGUUUGUAUGGAAAAAGUUUGUAUGGAAGAAAGUUUGUAUGGAAGAAAGUUUGAAUUUCCAGA